ensembl:misc_RNA
UUGACAGCCCUGGAGACUGAAGUCCUCUAUUUAUUUGCAGAUGACAUGCAGCACAAGAACAGCAGUGUCAAUCUCCCCACACUGUUCUGCCACAGUGCCUUAACUCUGUUAAUGUCAGACACCACACGUCUUGAGCCCUGGGCCAUGGACUUUUCAGAGCUAGUAAGCUCCAACCUGCCACCCAGUGACUUGCUAAA